rnacentral:rRNA from 1 species
UACGAAGGGGGCUAGCGUUGCUCGGAAUCACUGGGCGUAAAGGGUGCGUAGGCGGGUCUUUAAGUCAGGGGGUAAAUCCUGGAGCUCAACUCCAGAACUGCCUUUGAUACUGAAGAUCUUGAGUUCGGGAGAGGUGAGUGGAACUGCGAGUGUAGAGGUGAAAUUCGUAGAUAUUCGCAAGAACACCAGUGGCGAAGGCGGCUCACUGGCCCGAUACUGACGCUGAGGCACGAAAGCGUGGGGAGCAAACAGG